AGUUCUCUUUCAACAUACUGUAGCAACAGUCUAGUCUCCAUUUUCUGUUUACAGGGUAAAAACACGCAGCACUGUGAGAGUGGGACAUACUUCUACUAGAGGUCAGAUAAGCACAGGUCUUCUGAUGUCUGAGUCACAAGAUGAUGGGAACCCUGGCUAAAGCUGGGAGGUUACACACCCUCCCCCAGUGCCUUGUAACUGAGAGCAAACUUCACCUGUUCUAGAAAAUGGAUACAACCUAUAGAAUCAUAAGCAGAAAGAGGCUCCAGAGUCUGGAACAAGUUCAUCCUCAAGAGCUGAGCCAGAAGUCUGCUUUACAGGAUCUACCAAGUCACUGGACACCAACUGACCAUUUACAGCAGUUUUGAAGCCUGUCUGGACUUUCUUGUUCAGAUGCAGACA